AAAGUGAAAGGAAUUAACUGGGGUUGUAGCUGGCCUUUUCGGAGCAUGUGCACACCUGUGUCAUUCAUUCCAUUCACACCUGCGCCACUUUUCUGUGGGAUGGGUGAGUAAAAUCUCUAUCUCAUGUCUUUCACACACGCUUAAUUUAAUAGAAUGUCAUCUUGCUAUAAACGCAUCUAAUAUAACUUUCAACAACGGAUCUCUU
rnacentral:rRNA from 1 species